GCCAUUGUAGCUCAGUAGGUAGAGCAACCCCACAAUCCGGGGUGCGUCGCUGGUUCGAGUCCAGCCGAGGGCA
rnacentral:tRNA from 1 species